rnacentral:lncRNA from 1 species
GCCACUUCCGGCCGCGGAGAGUGGGCGGGGCCAGCCGAGGCCUGGGGUUGGCCUAACGCCUAAGGGCCCAAGGAGCUUGUUGGGACGUUCAGGAGACCCCGAGGUGGGAGGUUUUGGACACAACCUGCAUCUCCUCAGAGCGCCUUCGACUCUGGAGGCCGCCGUGUGACGGCCUGACACAGGGCUGCGGUGAGGACCGACCAGAGAGGGAUUUCCUUUUCGUCCUCCCAACUACCAGGGAUUGAGCACUGGGGGCCAGGCAAGGUACUAGCCAGUGGCGUUCCCGACGGGAACGAGAAACGCAGGAGCCAAUGGCACGUUCCUAGGCGUUAAGGCCGGAACUCUAGGAGGGCCCUGGGUGCUGCUGCGGGGCACGGGUGCUCCUGCUGGCUCAGUGUGUCCGUGGACAGCCAGGGAGAACAUACUAUUUCAUAUCAAAUCAGAUUCUCCACGUUACCUACUCAAGUCAUAAGCGUCUGAAGAAAGUGCUCUGUAAAUUCUCAGCAGAAUAUGCUUUUAACAAUUCUUUAAAAACAAUAAAGUCAUAAUAAAAAU